rnacentral:rRNA from 1 species
CCCUUAGAUGUUCUGGGCUGCACGCGUGCUACACUGAUUAUUUCAACAAGUGUUUUAACUGGAGAGUUUGCGUAAUCCUGAAAUGUUAUCGUGAUGGGAGUAGAGUAUUGUAUUUGUUAAUCUUUAACGAGGAAUUCCUAGUAAGUGUAGGUUUAUAAGUUGUUCUGAUUACGUCCCUGCCCUUUGUACACACCGCCCGUCGCUCCUACCGAUUGAGUGUGUUGGUGAGGAGUUUGGAUUGGCCUCGGAAGGUGGUUCGCCACCGUCCGUAGCUGAGAAGUUCUCCAAACCGCCCCACUUAGAGGAAGGAGAAGUCGUAACA